ensembl:lncRNA
ACUCAAACGACUUUAUUUCCUUUUUUGAUAGGGCUACCAGAUGUCUAUCGUAAAUCUGGAUGUUAUUAAAAUCUCUCAGGAUAUCCCUUUGGAUAAGAUGAAAACACAGAAGACAGUUUAUCAAAAUUAAAAAUAACACAACAUUGGGAUGGACAACUAGUGUAUUGCGGUAUAGAAUCAAUAUUUUUUUUAAAGCUCUUUUUAGGUUAAAAUUGUUGGUUAAAAAUAUUUAAUAACAGGCUGGGCACGGUGGCUCACACCUGUAAUCCCAGCACUUUGGGAGGCCGAGGUGGGUGGAUCACUUGAGGUCAGGAGUUUGAGACCAGCCUGGCCAACAUGGCGAAACCCUGUCUUUACUGAAAAACACAAAAAUUAGGUGUGGUGGCGCAUGCCUGUAAUUCCAGCUACUCGGGAGGCUGAGCAGGAGAAUCGCUUGAACCCAGGAGGCGGAGGUUGCAGUGAGCUAAGAUUGCACCAGUGCACUCCAGCUUGUGUGACAGAGUGAUACUCCAUCUCAGAAAAAAAAAAAUUAACAGCAAUAAAUGUAAAAUUCAGUAUUUAGGAAUCUAAAAUCUACUUACACAAGCUGGAGAAGACUUGGCAUAAUAGCUACUUCUGUGAAGAAGUCUGGGCAGAUUGUGCUGAUCACAUCAAACUGAAUCAACAGUGUGAUGUAUCUGCCAAAAGGAGCUAGUUGCUAUAGUGUCCAACAUCGCAGUAAAUGGUUGCAGGAAAAGGUCCCAGUGUGCUAACAGACCAUGUCCAGUGCUGGGACCACACUCAAGAACUAGGAAAGCUUCCUUCAAAAGCCAUCUGACUGGAGAAGAUAGUUCUGAGUCACAUUUGCUGAUUUAGCAAUGCCCGUGCCCCUCACCCAGGGGCUGCCAGCAAAAGAAAAACCCCUGAAAGAGGGACUACCAUGCAGGACACCUGAGCAUUAGCCUUAGUUCUAACGGUGAGCCGCCACUGGAGGACAAGAAGGGCACGGACAGCUGCCACAUGUUGCCUCCUUGAGUAAUGAGUACCCCAUCAAUGGAAGUUCAAGUAGAGGCAGUCUGCUGAGGACGCUAUAAAGGGGAUAUGUAAAGUGGGAGGCGGGACUAUACUGUAUAAACUCUUAAGAUCUCUGGCAUCACUAAGUACUAGGAAAUUUGUUCUAAACUUCCAAUACCAGCCCCAGCAUGGGAAGCAUCCUGUGUUUGCACCGUCGACACACUGACUGCUGAGUUACAUGGCUACAUGUCCUGCCUGGAGCCAGUACGUAAGGGCAACAGCAGGACACUUUCAGAAAAGUCUCAUCUGAACAAAACUGAAGUGUACAUGAUGACAGCACACACUUACAAGAGUGAAGGCAGAGGUUGCAGUGAGCCGUAAUCAUGCCACUGCACUGCAGCCUGGUGACAGAGUGAAGGGUCCCAAAUUAUACUCACUCCCUUUCAUAAAUAUCCUCAGUUCAACUCCCCUCUCCCUCCACAGUACAGACUGGACACAUCUCUCAACCUGGCUGUACCCAACUAUUCACCUUCUCUGUGUCUGCACUAAGGUCACUCAACAUGAUUGGCAGAGGCACACAAUGGAUGCCUGUUUACCCCCAAAAUUCAUGAGGACACAUCUCUAAAAGGGCACUCAACAGUCUUACCCUAUUCCCCCUUCAGGUUAACUGGGCCACCAGAAAAGAAGUCAC